AUUGAACGCUGGCGGCAUGCCUUACACAUGCAAGUCGAACGGCAGGCACGGGAGCAAUCCUGGUGGCGAGUGGCGAACGGGUGAGUAAUAUAUCGGAACGUGCCCAGUCGUGGGGGAUAACGUAGCGAAAGCUACGCUAAUACCGCAUACGAUCUAUGGAUGAAAGCGGGGGAUCGCAAGACCUCGCGCGAUUGGAGCGGCCGAUAUCAGAUUAGGUAGUUGGUGGGGUAAAAGCCUACCAAGCCUUCGAUCUGUAGCUGGUCUGAGAGGACGACCAGCCACACUGGAACUGAGACACGGUCCAGACUCCUACGGGAGGCAGCAGUGGGGAAUUUUGGACAAUGGGCGCAAGCCUGAUCCAGCAAUGCCGCGUGCAGGAUGAAGGCC
rnacentral:rRNA from 1 species